rnacentral:misc_RNA from 1 species
GCCAAAUCAAAAUCAUGGCGCCCAAGAAGUCCUCAUCGUCUGCUUCUCCAAUCCUAAUCGGUAAUUGCGAGGUCACUGUAGAAGCACACAACUUCACUUGCCAAUCAGAUCCCAACAGCCUCCAAAUUUCUCUCACCAAAAGCGCAAAAAUCAAAAUUUCAGUGAGGGAAGACUUCAGUAGAAGAUGCAGUGAUGAUAUUUGGGAAUCUAAAGCUGAAGGAGAAGGGAGAGCUUCCAUUCUUGGGGAUGAGUAUAUUUUUGUCCUAGUAAAUUCAAAAGAUUCUGAUAGCUGUAGCAAAUCCUAUCUUCAGGAGGCGUUAAAGAUAUACACCAUAGAAUUACCUGCAAUGAAUUAUAGUGCAAAUACUGGAAAGCAAUCAAUGUUUCUAGAAAAAUGUGUCUCAAAUGGGAAAUACUGCUCACUGCUUUUGAAAUCCAGGUCUGGUGAAAGUUCUGAAGAAGCUAUAGCUGCAAUUACAUAUCAAAUAGUCCCUUCUGACACCCAGUAUGCUGAGAUUCCUCUUGCUGCUGUUAGUUCAAUCCACCAACACAAGGGUUUUGGUCACUACUUGUACAUGGAAUUGAGGAAGAGACUUUGGAGUGUUGGUGUCCGCACUAUAUACUGUUGGGGAGAUAAGGAAUCUGAGGGUUUUUGGCUUAAACAGGGUUUUGAAUCCAUAGCAGAGGUGGACGAAAAAGGUAGAGCUUGUCGCAGGCUGCCCAUUAAGGCUGAUAUCCGUAGAGCAUUAUGCUUUCCUGGUGGUUCAAUCCUUAUGGUUUCACAUCUUAAUAAGGAUACUUCAGCUAACUAUGUAGAGCCAUUGAAGUUCCUUUUUCCACUAAAACCUCAUAAGAAGCCUUCAUCAGCUGUUGCUGUGUCUAUUCAUCCUGAGGAGGGUUGCAAUACUUUGAACACAGAAAAUCAAAUGGCAAAAAGUUCUCAUUCUGAAAGAAUGAUAGGGGAUGCGUUUCUUGGAGAAGAUAACAAUUUAGAUGGUUUUUCUUGGAAUCAGGAAUGCAAAGAACCAGCUCCAUUUGAGGGACAGAAAUGCAGCAAGAUGACAAAUGGUGCAGAAUUGGAAAAGAUUGAAGCUGAUAUUGAUGUCAAAUGCUGUUCCUGUCAUACACAAGGUACAAAGAGGGCUUGGGAAGCCUCAUUAUCCUCACUGAAGUCAAAAAGAGUGAAGGGAAGUCAUCAAAUUGAUUGUGAAACAGAAUCUAUCAUGGGUUUAGAUUCAGGAUCAGGAAGUGAAAGAAUUGAUCGUUGCUUUAAUGAGUGCUCCUUGGGCAUUUCAAAAAGUAGUUAUUUUGUGGGGGUUACUCCUACAAAUCCCUUGACUAGUAAUUGCAUGGAAAAUAAUGCCAAAGAAGGUAGAUCAAUUAACAUGGCAUCAGAAGCUCUGGUCAGCAAAGAACUUCCAUCCAAGGGAGAAGGCGUAAGAAUCAUGUUGAUGAAUAUUGCUGAUGAUACUAAGAAAAUGCAUCUUUCAAAGGUAAUUGAAAUUCUUGGUGGUAUUGUUACAUCUGAUGGAAGUGAAAGCACACAUGUAGUCACAGGAAAAGUAAGAAAAACUAUAAAUUUCUGCAAUGCUCUCUGCUCAGGUGCUUGGAUAGUCUCAUCAAGUUGGUUAAAAGAAAGCUUCCGAAAAAGCAAAUUUGUGGAUGAAUUGCCAUAUAUUUUGCAUGAUGAGGAACACAUUGUCAGGUAUGGAACUGAGUUAAAACAUGCAGUUUUCAGAGCAAAAGCCAGACCCAGAGCUCUGCUUAAAGGGUAUAACAUAUGUCUCCAACCUCCAGUUGAAGCUCUAUCCACCAUUGUCAGGUCUGCUGGUGGGAAUAUAAUUUCUGGAUUGGACAAAGUAAAUGAAGCAUCAAAAACAAUUUUUGUUGCUUGUGAAGAAGACAUGGAAGAAGCAUUCUCAGCUGCAAAGAAAGGGAUACGGACAUUCAGCAGUGACUGGUUGAUAAACUGCAUCAUGAAACAAGAGCUGGAUUUACAGGCACUUCAAUUUGCUGAGUCCUUGUGAGGAAACUACACAACUUGCAGUGAGGUUUGGACAAGUAGGAGAAUGUAAAUUUGUUUUCUCCCCCUUUUCCAUUUCUUGCUUUUGUGCAGAGAAAGAAAACUCUAGGCAAAAGCAAAUGUUAUUAUUUAUCCAUGGAAUUCUUAUUUCAAUCUGAAAAGACCAUCAGAAUUCAAAAUAUUUUGUUUAAAAAAGAGAACUCUUAACAUGUUGUGAAGGCCUGUUUUAUCUGAAUGAUAAUGCUAAGAAUUUUU